rnacentral:rRNA from 1 species
UACGUAGGCAGCGAGCGUUGUUCGGAAUUACUGGGCGUAAAGAGUGUGUAGGCGGUGCUCUAAGUUCGGUGUGAAAUCUCCCGGCUUAACUGGGAGGGUGCGCCGAAAACUGGAGUGCUCGAGCGUGGGAGAGGAAAGCGGAAUUCCUGGUGUAGCGGUGAAAUGCGUAGAUAUCUGGAGGAACACCGGUGGCGAAGGCGGCAUCCUGGACCGAUAUUGACGCUGAUGCGCGAAAGCCAGGGGAGCAAACGGG